GUUGUGGGCUGCAUCUCUGGAACACUGGUCGUUUCCCCCCAGCUGCAGGCAAUCUGCGUUUCAUACACCUGUCUCCUGUGAUCAUCAGGACUGGCUUAUAUACCCUGCCAUCUCCUCAGUUCCCCGCUGGAUUAUUGAUUCUAGUUUUGUUUGUUGGAGACCCUGCUUUGCUCCCGUGCCGUUCUGUCACGGAGGACGCCUGGCUGGAGAUUUCCCCACCGCAGACUCACUUCUCUGUCAGCCCUGUUACCCGCCUGGCCAUGGCCUCGCACUUACCUGCCACCCAAUGCCACACCGGAGGAACCUUCUCCCCAGCAUCAAGCCUGUCUAACCAUAUCUUGUGUUCAAUAAACUGUGUGAAUAUCCUCCUGA